rnacentral:rRNA from 1 species
UACGUAGGGUGCGAGCGUUAUCCGGAAUUACUGGGCGUAAAGAGCUCGUAGGUGGUUUGUCGCGUUGUCCGUGAAAACUCACAACUCAAUUGUGGGCGUGCGGGCGAUACGGGCAGACUGGAGUACUGCAGGGGAGACUGGAAUUCCUGGUGUAGCGGUGGAAUGCGCAGAUAUCAGGAGGAACACCGGUGGCGAAGGCGGGUCUCUGGGCAGUAACUGACGCUGAGGAGCGAAAGCGUGGGGAGCGAACAGG